rnacentral:antisense_RNA from 1 species
CUUCAGGGAGCCCAGCCACAGCGGGCGGUCCGCCGGGCGUUCCUGCCCGUACGUGGCCAGCAGUGCCUGCGCCUC